rnacentral:rRNA from 1 species
UACGUAGGGUGCGAGCGUUGUCCGGAAUUAUUGGGCGUAAAGAGCUCGUAGGCGGUGUGUCGCGUCGGCCGUGAAAACCUGCAGCUUAACUGUGGGCUUGCGGUCGAUACGGGCAUCACUGGAGUUCGGCAGGGGAGACUGGAAUUCCUGGUGUAGCGGUGAAAUGCGCAGAUAUCAGGAGGAACACCGGUGGCGAAGGCGGCUUUCUGGGCCUUACCUGACGCUGAGGAGCGAAAGCUGGGGGAGCGAACAGG